rnacentral:rRNA from 1 species
UACGGGGGGGGGCAAGCGUUGUUCGGAAUUACUGGCGGUAAGGACGUCGUAGGCGGCCAACUAAGUCAGACGUGAAAUCCCUCGGCUUAACCGGGGAACUGCGUCUGAUACUGGAUGGCUUGAGGUUGGGAGAGGGAUGCGGAAUUCCAGGUGUAGCGGUGAAAUGCGUAGAUAUCAGGAGGAACACCGGUGGUGUAGACGGCUUUCUGGACCGUAACUGACGCUGAGACACGAAAGCGUGGGUAGCAAACAGG